rnacentral:rRNA from 1 species
AUUGAACGCUGGCGGCAUGCCUUACACAUGCAAGUCGAACGGCAGCGCGGGAGCAAUCCUGGCGGCGAGUGGCGAACGGGUGAGUAAUACAUCGGAACGUGCCCAAUCGUGGGGGAUAACGCAGCGAAAGCUGUGCUAAUACCGCAUACGAUCUACGGAUGAAAGCAGGGGAUCGCAAGACCUUGCGCGAAUGGAGCGGCCGAUGGCAGAUUAGGUAGUUGGUGAGGUAAAGGCUCACCAAGCCUUCGAUCUGUAGCUGGUCUGAGAGGACGACCAGCCACACUGGGACUGAGACACGGCCCAGACUCCUACGGGAGGCAGCAGUGGGGAAUUUUGGACAAUGGGCGAAAGCCUGAUCCAGCCAUGCCGCGUGCAGGAUGAAGGCCUUCGGGUUGUAAACUGCUUUUGUACGGAACGAAACGGUCUUUUCUAAUAAAGAAGGCUAAUGACGGUACCGUAAGAAUAAGCACCGGCU